AAACUCAAAUGAAUUGACGGGGGCCCCGCACAAGCGGUGGAGCAUGUGGUUUAAUUCGAUGCAACGCGAAGAACCUUACCUACUCUUGACAUCCAGAGAACUUUCCAGAGAUGGAUUGGUGCCUUCGGGAACUCUGAGACAGGUGCUGCAUGGCUGUCGUCAGCUCGUGUUGUGAAAUGUUGGGUUAAGUCCCGCAACGAGCGCAACCCUUAUCCUUACUUGCCAGCGGGUAAUGCCGGGAACUUUAGGGAGACUGCCGGUGAUAAACCGGAGGAAGGUGGGGACGACGUCAAGUCAUCAUGGCCCUUACGAGUAGGGCUACACACGUGCUACAAUGGUCGGUACAGAGGGUUGCGAAGCCGCGAGGUGGAGCUAAUCUCAUAAAGCCGGUCGUAGUCCGGAUUGGAGUCUGCAACUCGACUCCAUGAAGUCGGAAUCGCUAGUAAUCGUGGAUCAGAAUGCCACGGUGAAUACGUUCCCGGGCCUUGUACACACCGCCCGUCACACCAUGGGAGUGGGCUGCACCAGAAGUAGAUAGCUUAACCUUCGGGAGGGCGUUUACCACGGUGUGGUUCAUGACUGGGGUGAAGUCGUAACAAGGUAACCG
rnacentral:rRNA from 1 species